rnacentral:rRNA from 1 species
CGCGUAGGUGGUUUGGUUAGUCAGAUGUGAAAGCCCCGGGCUCAACCUGGGAACUGCAUUUGAUACUGCCUGGCUAGAGUAUGGUAGAGGGAAGUGGAAUUCCAGGUGUAGCGGUGAAAUGCGUAGAUAUCUGGAGGAACAUCAGUGGCGAAGGCGACUUCCUGGACCAAUACUGACACUGAGGUGCGAAAGCGUGGGUAGCAAACA